rnacentral:tRNA from 5 species
GCCCAGGUGGCGGAAUUGGUAGACGCGCUAGCUUCAGGUGCUAGUGUACGUAUGUACGUGGGAGUUCGAGUCUCCCCCUGGGCACCA